CCUACGGGUGGCAGCAGUGAGGAAUAUUGGUCAAUGGACGAGAGUCUGAACCAGCCAAGUAGCGUGAAGGAUGACUGCCCUAUGGGUUGUAAACUUCUUUUAUAUGGGAAUAAAACGUUCCACGUGUGGGAUUUUGUAUGUACCAUAUGAAUAAGGAUCGGCUAACUCCGUGCCAGCAGCCGCGGUAAUACGGAGGAUCCGAGCGUUAUCCGGAUUUAUUGGGUUUAAAGGGAGCGUAGGUGGAUUGUUAAGUCAGUUGUGAAAGUUUGCGGCUCAACCGUAAAAUUGCAGUUGAAACUGGCAGUCUUGAGUACAGUGGAGGUGGGCGGAAUUCGUGGUGUAGCGGUGAAAUGCUUAGAUAUCACGAAGAACUCCGAUUGCGAAGGCAGUUCACUGGACUGCAACUGACACUGAGGCUCGAAAGUGUGGGUAUCAAACAGGAUUAGAUACCCCAGUAGUC
rnacentral:rRNA from 1 species